UGGGGAAUUUUGGACAAUGGGCGCGAGCCUGAUCCAGCCAUGCCGCGUGAGUGAAGAAGGCCUUCGGGUUGUAAAGCUCUUUCGGCGGGGACGAAACGGUUCGUGACAACACCACGGACUAAUGACGGUACCCGCAUAAGAAGCACCGGCUAACUACGUGCCAGCAGCCGCGGUAAUACGUAGGGUGCAGGCGUUAAUCGGAAUUACUGGGCGUAAAGCGUGCGCAGGCGGUUUGUUAAGACAGGUGUGAAAUCCCCGGGCUUAACCUGGGAAUUGCGCUUGUAACUGGCAGGCUAGAGUGUGGCAGAGGGGGGUGGAAUUCCACGUGUAGCAGUGAAAUGCGUAGAUAUGUGGAGGAACACCGAUGGCGAAGGCAGCCCCCUGGGUUAACACUGACGCUCAUGCACGAAAGCGUGGGGAGCAAACAGGAUUAGAUACCCAAGUAGUCCCUGAGCGGGCUGGCAAGGCGCAU
rnacentral:rRNA from 1 species